rnacentral:rRNA from 1 species
UACGUAGGGGGCAAGCGUUGUCCGGAAUCAUUGGGCGUAAAGAGCGUGUAGGCGGCCCGGUAAGUCCGCCGUGAAAGCCCAGGGCUCAACCCUGGAAUGCCGGUGGAAACUGCCGGGCUGGAGUCCGGAAGAGGCGAGUGGAAUUCCUGGUGUAGCGGUGAAAUGCGCAGAUAUCAGGAGGAACACCGGUGGCGAAGGCGGGUCUCUGGGCCGAUACUGACGCUGAGGAGCGAAAGCGUGGGGAGCGAACAGG